rnacentral:rRNA from 1 species
UACGAAGGGGGCUAGCGUUGCUCGGAAUUACUGGGCGUAAAGCGCACGUAGGCGGAUAUUUAAGUGAGGGGUGAAAUCCCAGGGCUCAACCCUGGAACUGCCUCUCAUACUGGGUAUCUCGAGUUCGAGAGAGGUGAGUGGAAUUGCGAGUGUAGAGGUGAAAUUCGUAGAUAUUCGCAGGAACACCAGUGGCGAAGGCGGCUCACUGGCUCGAUACUGACGCUGAGGUGCGAAAGCGUGGGGAGCAAACAGG